rnacentral:rRNA from 1 species
GAAUCCCGUCUUUGACACGGACUGCCUGUACAUUAUGGUGUGCUCUCGAAGAGUCGAGUUGUUUGGGAAUGCAGCUCAAAAUGGGUGGUAAAUGCCAUCUAAAGCUAAAUAUUGGCGAGAGACCGAUAGCGAACAAGUACCGUGAGGGAAAGAUGAAAAGAACUUUGGAAAGAGAGUUAAACAGUACGUGAAAUUGCUGAAGGGGAAACGCUUGAAGUCAGUCGCGUUGGCUAGAAAUCAACCUUGCUUUUGCUUUGUGUACUUUCUGGUUGACGGGUCAGCAUCAAUUUUGACCACUGGAUAAAGUCUUUGGGAAUGUGGCAUCUUCGGAUGUGUUAUAGCCCAUUGUCGCAUACGGUGGUUGGGAUUGAGGAACUCAGCACGCCGCAAGGCCGGGUUUCGACCACGUUCGUGCUUAGGAUGCUGGCAUAAUGGCUUUAAUCGACCCGUCUUGAAACACGGACCAAGGAGUCUAACAUGCCUGCGAGUGUUUGGGUGGAAAAACCCAUGCGCGCAAUGAAAGUGAAAGUUGAGAUCCUCUUCAAAGGGGGAGCAUUGACGCCCGGACCAGACCUUUUGUGACGGAUCCGCGGUAGAGCAUGCAUGUUGGGACCCGAAAGAUGGUGAACUAUGCCUGAAUAGGGUGAAGCCAGAGGAAACUCUGGUGGAGGCUCGUAGCGAUUCUGACGUGCAAAUCGAUCGUCAAAUUUGGGUAUAGGGGCGAAAGACUAAUCGAACCAUCUAGUAGCUGGUUCCUGCC